GACGAACGCUGGCGGCGUGCUUAACACAUGCAAGUCGAACGGUGAAAGGGAGCUUGCUCCCUGGAUCAGUGGCGAACGGGUGAGUAACACGUGGGCAACCUGCCCCAGACUUCGGGAUAACGCUUCGAAAGGAGUGCUAAUACCGGAUACGAACUCCUUGGGCAUCCUUGGGGUUGGAAAGGUUUUCGGUCUGGGAUGGGCCCGCGGCCUAUCAGCUUGUUGGUGAGGUAACGGCUCACCAAGGCGACGACGGGUAGCCGGCCUGAGAGGGCGACCGGCCACACUGGGACUGAGACACGGCCCAGACUCCAACGGGAGGCAGCAGUGGGGAAUUUUGGACAAUGGGGGCAACCCUGAUCCAGCCAUGCCGCGUGUGUGAAGAAGGCCUUCGGGUUGUAAAGCACUUUCGGCCGGAACGAAAUCGCGCGAGCUAACACCCCGCGUGGAUGACGGUACCGGAAGAAGAAGCACCGGCUAAC
rnacentral:rRNA from 1 species